AACCUGCCCAUCAGAAGGGGAUAACACUUGGAAACAGGUGCUAAUACCGUAUAACAAUCGAAACCGCAUGGUUUUGAUUUGAAAGGCGCUUUCGGGUGUCGCUGAUGGAUGGACCCGCGGUGCAUUAGCUAGUUGGUGAGGUAACGGCUCACCAAGGCCACGAUGCAUAGCCGACCUGAGAGGGUGAUCGGCCACAUUGGGACUGAGACACGGCCCAAACUCCUACGGGAGGCAGCAGUAGGGAAUCUUCGGCAAUGGACGAAAGUCUGACCGAGCAACGCCGCGUGAGUGAAGAAGGUUUUCGGAUCGUAAAACUCUGUUGUUAGAGAAGAACAAGGAUGAGAGUAACUGUUCAUCCCUUGACGGUAUCUAACCAGAAAGCCACGGCUAACUACGUGCCAGCAGCCGCGGUAAUACGUAGGUGGCAAGCGUUGUCCGGAUUUAUUGGGCGUAAAGCGAGCGCA
rnacentral:rRNA from 1 species